rnacentral:rRNA from 1 species
UACGAAGGGGGCUAGCGUUGCUCGGAAUCACUGGGCGUAAAGCGCACGUAGGCGGAUUGCUAAGUCAGGGGUGAAAUCCUGGAGCUCAACGUCCAGAACUGCCUUUGAUACUGGCGACCUUGAGUCCGGGAGGAGGUGAGUGGAACUGCGAGUGUAGAGGUGAAAUUCGUAGAUAUUCGCAAGAACACCAGUGGCGAAGGCGGACUCACUGGCC